ACGGCUAUAUCAGACAGAAACACCGGUCCCCGUCCUAUUUUGGAGAUUAAGCAACAUCGAACCUGGUCAGUAUUUAGAUGGGUGACCGCUAGCGAAUACCAGGUGCUGUAAG